GAUCACAGGAUCCAGUCAAUAGACGCAGCAAAGGCCUCUGAUAAAAUCCAACAGCCAUUCAGGUCAGAAAGAAGCUGGGGACUGAAGGAAGCCACCUGGAUGCUGUAAAGGCCAUUUAUAACUGACCCAGGGCCAAGGUCACACUAAAGGCGGGGGCUCCGAGAUUCCGGCGGUGACCCGAGGGGAAAAGGGGGCCAAAGUGGAUAGAAACCGGAAAAGAAGUGCAGCCACCCGUUCGUCGGGGGCGCAGUCCUCCAUCUACAGGAACCAGAGCCCCACCCCCACCCCAGAGGACUCUCGCGCCUCGAAUGAAUCUAGCAGGACAGCAGGACACAGUUCAUCGCCCAUGGACCAGCGGCUGUCCCAGAGGACACCGGGGCGUUACCCCCACGGCCACUGCCAGCUGCCAGCGAGCAGAGAGGGCGCCCACCUCCGGGGAGGUGCCAGAGGGGCCCUCCCUGCUGGCCCCACCGUGAACCAAGAGGAGCAGACGGCUCCUCAGCAAGGCAUCAGGGGACUGUAGUGGAAUCCAAGGGGCCAAGCGCCCCAGCCCCGCACGGCUGGAGGCACACACCAGGCUGUCCGUCCGUCUGUCCGGGAACACGGUACAGCCCCGUCCCCAGGGAGCCUGGGGCGGUCGGUGUGGAGCCUUUGGAGAUCAGCCACCGCCCACGGCUCAGCGGGACCUAUUGGUUUAAGCAGUUUGGCAUAUUGUUUGCAAUGGCUGCUGUCAUGGUCUCUCUCCCUCAAAGGCAAGAUACUGGAACCUUCAGGAACACGGUACGUCUACAGGUAGAAACUGUGCUGCCUCAGGUCCACACUAAACAGGUAGACACACAACCACCUGAGAACACAAGGGGACAAACUGCCCCAAGAAACCAAGAUGCCCCCAUAACAGAAUCCACCGACACCCACAGUAGACUAAAUGACAGACGGAGUUUAGCAUGUACCUAGGUGAACUGACCCAGGAUGUAAAGGAUGAUGUAAGCAGUGAAAUCAGAGAUAAAAUUCAGGAGGUG
rnacentral:lncRNA from 1 species